rfam:Fukomys damarensis contig90623, whole genome shotgun sequence.
CCAAAGGCUCUUUUAAGAGCCACUCAAUUAUUUCCAAGAAAGUAGCU